ACCCUUUUCAUUCUCUGCCGUCGUGAUAUCUGCUCGAACUUUAGGCUUUCGAUUCAUCUCCUUCCUCCAACCCAGGAUUUUACCAGUUUCACAUCCAAUAUUCCUUAUCUCUUUUCUCAACCUAAACAGAUGGGUUAUAAAAGCAUGGUCUCUUCUGGACAGAGAUUAUUGAAGCUUUGAAGCCAUCAUGCUUCGUCUUCCAAAUUAUUUGAAAAGUUGUGGCUGUGAAGAGAGUCGGUUAUCCUUGACGUGGGAAGAAUGGAUAUGCCAAUCCCUGAUGAGCUAUUGGAUUCAGUCAACGUCUUAAGCUCGAAUGAAACGGAGAUUUGCAACGGUGGGGGAUGUGUUGCAGUUGGUGCGGGAGGAAUGGAUACGCCAAUCUCUUAACUAUACUCAACGAUUUGCAAUGGGAAAAAAACCUCUCCUUCUCUAGCUGUUUUUCUUCGGGCUUGCUUCAGAAUCAAAGAAAGGCAUCUUAACAUUUAGCUCUGGGAUAAGCAGCCAUGGAAUUCUGAAAAACAAAUUCAAUGCAACUCAGGAAGUGCUGAUCAAAUUGUGAAACGCAUAAGAGUAUCAUGCUUUCAGUUAUGCGUUGGAAACGUUGGUAUGACUCUUGAUAUGACUUUUAAGAUUGCAAUAUAAUUGAUUUGUAUUUUCUUAUCUUGACCUAUAAAAAUACACUUAAAUUUAUGCUCUUACUAUUCAAUUAUGGUAGUCUCGCGCUAUGAUUGUAAUUAAUCAUCUUAGCGAAAAGCCAAUAAGUGU